UCUUGGUUCCAGCAUCGAUGAAGAACGCAGCGAAAUGCGAUAAGUAAUGUGAAUUGCAGAAUUCAGUGAAUCAUCGAAUCUUUGAACGCACAUUGCGCCCCUCGGUAUUCCGGGUGGCAUGCCUGUUCGAGCGUCAUUACA
rnacentral:rRNA from 1 species